GGGCGAUUAGCUCAGUUGGCUAGAGCGCUUGCUCGACAAGCAAGAGGUCACUGGUUCGAGUCCAGUAUCGCCCACCA
rnacentral:tRNA from 8 species